rnacentral:miRNA from 1 species
GGGCCUGCUUCUCAAGGAGCUUAGAAUCCAGCUGGGAAGAAACUGGGCAAGUGCAGGAAUUACUGUGAGAAACAGUGCAAGGUGCC